rnacentral:rRNA from 1 species
ACGUAUGGUGCAAGCGUUAUCCGGAUUUACUGGGUGUAAAGGGAGCGUAGACGGAAAGGCAAGUCUGGAGUGAAAACCCGGGGCUCAACCCCGGGACUGCUUUGGAAACUGCAAUUCUAGAGUGCCGGAGAGGUAAGCGGAAUUCCUAGUGUAGCGGUGAAAUGCGUAGAUAUUAGGAGGAACACCAGUGGCGAAGGCGGCUUACUGGACGGUGACUGACGUUGAGGCUCGAAAGCGUGGGGAGCAAACAGG